UUGGCAAUACAAACUUCGACAUGUCUACAGAGAGAAGAACUUUGUGGCAGACAGUUUAGCAACCUAUAAUCUUGAUUUAGAUUUAGGUAAUUUUUAUUUUGAUACUCUUCGUUCUUGUUCAAUUAGUUUUAUUUAUGAGAAUUACCUUGAGAUGUCCCGGUCUAGAUUCAUUAUUGAGUAAGUUUGGACUCUUUCUUUUAACCCCGUUUUUCAAACAAAAAAAGAGAGUGAAGACCAAUGUUUUGAUACCAGCACACAUCAGUUAUUCACGUUGAUUUAUAUCCAAUUUUAUUGUUGAUUUAUUUAGUUUUUUCUUCAAAUAAUAGAAACAUGGGAUGCAGUUCAUAAUAAACUAAGGGUUUAAGAAUCAAUUUAAACCUAAUUUAUUCACGAUGUAUCUAAUUUUCUUUGAUUCAAACACAAAAGACGUCUUUAUCUAAAUUUGAGGAAGAAACCAUCGCACUCCAAGGGUCAAUAUCGGUUUGUUUUUAUUUGCUUUGUUUUAAAUCCCAACCUUAUAAAAAAUAACUAUUCACUUGGCGACAUUCAUAGACUUUUUUUCAUAGGUUUGUAAUAAAAAAAACCUCAUCAGAAACCAGCUUAACCAACUGUACAGAUUAGUAUUGCAAACAGGGAAGAUGAAGGGAGCCAAACAGAAGAUUGUGAUAUCCAUAUAACCCUCCCUGAAUCCUGAACCAGGAGCCAAACAGCAAGAAAGAAAAUACAAGGGCAACGCCCAAACAUCCCCAAAUUUCGAUAGAAACAGAGCGAUAAAAAGGAAACCACCAAUCCACUGCAUUUAUAAGAAGGGAAAUUUUAUUUCAACCUAUGCAACCUCUUUUUACCUUCAACUUAAAAUUUUGAAUGUUAAUUAUCUAUUUUACUCUAUUGCAUAAUUAUUAUUAAGUACAAAAUGAAAUUAAUAAUAAAACUCAAAUUUAUCAAUAAACCCAAACACUAUAAUUAAACCCUACGAUCAUUCUUUGUUUAUCAUACGUUCAUUAUGCUAAAACCCUAAUAGCUCUCAUAGAGAAAAAUAAAAUUUUCUAUUGAUGGAUGGUGAUUUUGAAGUUUGAAUUCUCUAACCAAGGUAUGACUCAAUUUAUGAAUUUUUUGUUCGGUCGAUUUCAAUUUUUUAAAGUUUAGAACUUGUCAAAUUGAACGAUGUCUUUAAGGUUUCUGGUUCCGCAUGUGUAUAUCUUUCAGGCAUGUUGGUUGGGUGGUGAGUCCUUCAUGAGCUUAUAAUUUUUUGCUUUAUGGAAGAUUUUUCGAGUUGAGGAAGUCUGGACUUUCCCAUUGAAUUGCCACUGAUGUGAAGGGAUUUUUUUUGAGAAAAAUCUUGAACCUUGAUUCUGCAGUCUUGUUGAUUCUUUUGGGGGUUUAUUUUUCGAUUUCCCAAGGACUAAAACAUUUUAUAAGCUAAUGAUUUAUUGGCUCAAAGUUGCCAACAUUGUUUCCUGCAUUGGAAAAUCUCUGCACUAAGCAAUUAUUGGAUUACAAAAUAUCCAUUGCCAUCUUUAGUUUUACUAACUUUGAGGGUUACAUCUCGGGAUCUAGGUGAGCCUUGUCCCUAUAAAUGGAGCAGCAGCUCCUUCUCCUUCUUAGUCUUCUUCUUCGAUUUCAAUCUUACAUCUGACUAAAAAAUUGAAUGGGUGUAAAAAUAAAUCUACAUACUGAAUUAGGUUUAUAGGGGUAUAUUAGGUAUUAAAUUUGGGUUUAAAGAGAUAAUAAUAGUUUAGUUAAAAAUCAAAUUGGUGAAAAGAGUAAAUUGGGUGUAAAAAUAGGUUAGAUGGGUUUAAAUAAAAUUUCCCUUAUAAGAAUCCUGUUGAAAGACGCUUUUCCUCUCAAAUCAAACCCCUAUCAAAUCAAACCACCAAUCCACUGCAUUUAUAAGAACAUGUGAAGAAGGGCUUGCAAGCGGUGGGCACUACAUUGAAGCAAAUCGAGUUUUGCGGGUACAUCGAUUAGAAAAACGCUGUUGAUCUAGGAAAUUUUGUAGUUCCAUAAAUGAAUUUUCUUGGUAUCUUUAAUCUGAAGUAUAAUUUUCCUUCAAACUCGCAUAAAAGUACAUCAUGUUCCCGCACUGCCGAAACUGACAGAUUUGCGGCUAGUUCUUGAUCCCGGAGAGAAGAUGGUCCUGCACCAAAUUUCCAACUUCUUGAGAGCAGCCUUAACUUUGUCGACCUUUGUGUGGCAGUUUGCUGCACCAAUAGUUGGCAAUGGGCAGGUUGUAAGGCCUGAUGCCCUAGCGGUAAGCACUACAUUAAAGCAAAUCGAGUUUUGCAGGUACAUCGAUUCGGAAAACGCUGUUGAUCUAGGAAAUUUUGUAAGGGUGUGUGCACCAGAGUUAGCAAAUGCAAUAGUCCACCUCGCAGGUAACCAGCCCAUGGUCGUUUUGGCAUUCAGCCUACAAUGACAUGUAAAGAAGGGCUUGCAAGCAAGGUGAAGCAUUUCCUCAAACAUGUCAAUCGUAGGCCAAACGCCAAAACGACCAUGGGCUGGUUACCUGCGAGGUGGACUAUUGCAUUUGCUAACUCUGGUGCACACACCCUUACAAAAUUUCCUAGAUCAACAACGUUUUUCGAAUCGAUGUACCCGCAAAACUCGAUUUGUUUCAAUGCAGUGCUUACCGCUAGGGCAUCAGGCCUUACAACCUGCCCAUCGCCAACUAUUGGUGCAGCAAACUGCCACACAAAGGUUGACAAAGUUAAGGCUGCUCUCAAGAAGUUGGAAAUUUGGUGCAGGACCAUCUUCUCUUCGGGAUCAAGAACUAGCCGCAAAUCUGUCAAUUUCGGCAGUGCGGGAACAUGAUGUACUUUUAUGCGAGUCUGAAAGAAAAUUAUACUUCAGAUUAAAGAUACCAAGAAAAUUCAUUUAUGGCCUAACUACUUAAAAAGCAUAUAAAGGACUAACAAUCCCUGACAGAUCCAGGCAGAGGUAGGUCAGUUGAGGAAUGGUUGAGCUGAUUCUGUUGAACAGCGUAUGGCGAAGGUCUUUGGUUUCAUCAAGGACUAGGGAUGGGCAAUGGUUAUAAUGGGCGGGUAACCGUGCUUAUUUACCCAUAACCAUUUAUAUUCAUACCUGUAUAACUGUUUACCCAUUGGGUAAUUGUAUAAAUGGUUAUACCCAUAACCAUAACCGUUUAUAAACGAUUAUCCAUACCCAUAACCGUGUACCCAUUUAACCAUAACUAUUUACCCUAGGGCUGGGUUCGGUUUGAAAUGGUUCGGUUUUUAGCAAAAAACGAAACCAAACCGAAAUUUCGGUUCGGUUCGGUUCAAAUUUUUUCGGUUCGGUUUUUUUCGGUUUUGGUUUUUUUUGGUUUGGUUUCAGUCCGGUUCGGUUUUUUCCAUGAUUUUUUUUAAUUUGUAACAAAUCUGCAACGAUUGAUUGCGAGCACUGAAGAUGCAAAAACUUAUUGGGUGUUGGUGUAAAUGAAUAUGAACUAGAACAAAUCUGCAAAUCUACAUUGGAAUAAAUCUGCAAAUAAAUACGAACUGGAACAAAUCUGCAAAUGAAUACAAAAAUUACAAUAUAAAAUCCCAACAAAUCUGCAAAGAUUAUAACAUGCAAAAUCCCAACUAAUAAUUAAAAGAAAAACCCAUUUUAAUUCAGUAAAUCACAAUAUAAAAUCCCAACAAAUCUGCAAAUGAAUACGAAAAUUACAAUAUAAAAUCCCAACAAAUCUGCAAAGAUUAUAACAUGAAAAAUCCCAACAAAUAAUUAAAAGAAAAACCCAUUUUAAUUCAGUAAAUCACAAUAUAAAAUUAUAAAUCAUAUUAGUUUUGAUUCAAAAAUUACCUGUGAGAGAUCGGAAAACCCGGAUUAGAAUCUUCCAAUUUGGAGGGGGUUCUGAUUCGAAAGGGGCGAGGGAAAAUCAUGGUUUGGAAGAAGGAAUCCGCGAGGAGGACAUGAAAAGACUGGAGAGGGAGUGAUUUGGAGGAAGAAAGGAAGGAGAGAGAGAGAGAAAGAGAGAGAGGCUGAGGAAGCAAAGGCAAAGAGAGGAAGUAGCGGAGGGGAGAGUGUUUGAAAUCUGAAAUGGGAAGUGAGACAAAGUGUGAGACGGCUAGGGUUUGUAGAGUUAAG
rnacentral:lncRNA from 1 species